UACGUAGGGUGCAAGCGUUGUCCGGAAUUAUUGGGCGUAAAGGGCUCGUAGGCGGUCCAUCGCGUCGGGAGUGAAAAGCUGGGGCUUAACCCCAGUCCUGCUUCCGAUACGGGUGGACUAGAGGUAGGCAGGGAGAACGGAAUCCUGGUGUAGCGGUGAAAUGCGCAGAUAUCAGGAGGAACACCGGUGGCGAAGGCGGUUCCUGGCCUUACGU
rnacentral:rRNA from 1 species